rnacentral:rRNA from 1 species
GACGAACGCUGGCGGCGUGCUUAACACAUGCAAGUCGAACGGAAAGGCCCUGCUUUUGUGGGGUGCUCGAGUGGCGAACGGGUGAGUAACACGUGAGUAACCUGCCCUUGACUUUGGGAUAACUUCAGGAAACUGGGGCUAAUACCGGAUAGGAGCUCCUGCUGCAUGGUGGGGGUUGGAAAGUUUCGGCGGUUGGGGAUGGACUCGCGGCUUAUCAGCUUGUUUGUGGGGUAGUGGCUUACCAAGGCUUUGACGGGUAGCCGGCCUGAGAGGGUGACCGGGCACAUUGGGACGGAGAUACGGCCCAGACUCAUACGGGAGGCAGCAGUGGGGAAUAUUGCACAAUGGGCGGAAGCCUGAUGCAGCAACGCCGCGUGCGGGAUGACGGCCUUCGGGUUGUACACCGCUUUCGCCUGUGACGAAGCGUGAGUGACGGUAAUGGGUAAAGAAGCACCGGCUAACUACGU